UGUAGCGGUAUUUUAGCGAAUUUUUCGAUAUUUUCCUUCGCAUUUCGCCGUAUUUUAUGCACUCAUUGUUCCUUGACGUAUUCAGUGAGUCUAGACGUAAUUAGUGGUAAUAGGCAUUGCUGCUGUUAGGAGAGAUAUUAGACGAGCAGGGACUGCAUGAUGUGGUCGGUGCUAGGAGAGUACUGGGUCAGUCCGCUGCCAAUACUGCACAUCUCAGACGCAUAAAGUAAUUCCACAUUUAGGUCUGGCCAGUAGGAGGGACAAAACUCGACGAUUUUCUCACCAGACGCAUUCAACAGGGAGACACAUGCGGCCACGUUUGCCCACACCCCUGGAGCUCCUGCCCACCUCUCUCAAGUAGACGCUAACAAUCGAAUGUCCUGAGCAGCUUCGGAGUAAACACCGGGAUACAAGUGGCCACUGCACAGAGAGACGUCUGGCUAACACAUUCCCCUGUCCAGUCGGUUCCUGCAAGCCGCGCUUCGGCGAGGACACCUUCCAUGGGGAGACUAAUGCAAUGCUCCACACCUCUCACAACAGAUCUGUCAGUGACUUUAUAAAUAGUAUUAAAUGUUGGUAGAAUUACCGACAAUACGUUAGGUAAAAG